GAAACAGGGGCACACGAAGGUUAAGCAACCUGCUCAAGGUCACCCAGCUCUCCUGCUCUGAACCACAUCCUUUGCUAAGAACUUCAUGGGCAGUAUCCCAUCCAAACCUUGCAACAACCCAGAAGGGCCUCUUCUUCAGGGAAUGGAAGCAGCCGACUGGACCGGGAUUGGAGUGUGUCUCCCACCUGGGGGCGCCAGAGGGCACAUAUACUGCUGUACUCGUUUGUGCCACCAGAGGGCAGCCUCCGCACAUCGAUCUCUACUGCUUCCGAGAACUGUCCAAACCGGCGGGACUGAGAGAGAGAAACCUGGUCCAGGGCAGAGAAAGAGAGGAGCCCACUGCAGUGCGUGCAAGCGAUCUUCCACGCGUCCAUCCUGAAUGUGUUAAAAGCAGCAGUUAAAGAGGGAGGGCUCUGGAGUUGGACUGUUUGCGUUUGAACCCAGACUCUGGGCAAAAGCUGCUGAACCUCUCUGAAUCUAAUAGCCUCAUCUGUGAAUUGGAAGGAUACUAGCGAGGAUUAAAUGAGAGUGCAUAGGAAGGGCCUAGCCCCGGUGCCCAGCACAGAGGCUCCAUAUGUGUCACCGUUGUCAAUUUCUGACUCAUGUAUUCAUCUAU
ensembl:lncRNA novel transcript